GGAUAUCAAGUCUCAAACUUAUGUUUUUUAUUUCAGUUAUCAUAAACCUAUAGUUUCAAUGACAAAAAUUCCUGAAUAACCUACAUGUAUUGUAAGAUAAUAAAAAUAUUUUAAGCAAUUCUCAUUUAUUCAAUAAGAGAAAAAAAUUUGUUUUCUUAUCGGUCACCACGCUCAACUUAAAUUAAUAUCAAAGAAAAACUUGAAUUAAUAUCAAUGAAAUUAUAAUUGCAUAAGUUGAUAAAAAAUGUUAUGCAACAGCUUUACCGCGGCAGUCCUGAGUGCCAAACGUAUCUUUUUUUUCCAGUCAUAAUGGUUGCUUCAGUAAAAUUUCCUGCAAUCUUUUUGAUUAUCAAACGUGUACCGUUGCAUAUUCGAGUUGGAUCAAUUUGCUCUAAAGAAUAAUAGGUGAACCAAUUUUCAACCGAAGAGUAUGUGAUGCCAGAGCUGCAAAAUAAUCGAUGGUCAUCAAUAGUUUUUUUUCGUCUCACUAUCGAUAGUUUAUUGUGACUAUCGAUGGUUUUUAUGGUUUGACUAGCAACAAUCUUCAUAUUAUUUUGCAAAAUUUCACUUAAUAGCCUUAAAAACAUCAUUUAUUUCAUUCUUGGCUUGGUUGCGUGCACGUACCACGUGAUCUCAAAUGCAGCAACGAAAAUGAAUUGACGUCUCUCAGCAUCUGUAACAGUCGAUGCCUUUGUCUUCCAGCUACUUCUACAGAGUCGGAGAGAAUAUUCAGCCAGGGUGGAUUGCUAAUAUCAGAUAGGAGAGCAGCUCUGAAGGCUGACUUCGAAAACGUACUUCUGCAAAGUAAUUGAUACAGUACGACUACAGUUUUUAUACAUCGUCUGUAUGCAACGUUAAACAACCUUGUAAAAUGAUGGGCUAUAUAAUUUGACGUUACAGAACACUUUUACUGCAAAGUGUUAUUCUCACAAUCAGCUGUUUUAUGUUCUAUGUUUUGGCGAGUGAAAAAGCAAAGAAAUGGAUGGAAGUCAAACCAAGGGGUUAAUUUUAAACAAUUUCUUAAAUCUCUCCGAAAAUAGAAGCCUAAAUAUUAUUUAGAUCUAUAAAAAAAUAUUUAAGGCAAAAUAUAAAAGAGUGUGUUUUUUAAAUAGUGUAAUUAAUAAAAACCGAGUAAGAAGAUUGCCAAAAAAUUGUGGAUUCUGGCAAACUAUAUUGGAACUGCCUAGUGAUUUAUUUUUCGCUCACUGUAGGAUGAAACCAGCCACUUGUGAGAAACUAUAACACAAGCUAAAGCAAUUAUGGAGAACACUCCGAACUGGCCGACUUUGCUUAUCACUGGAAAGGUUUAUAUACCUAUCUUUGUGGAAACUUAGUAACCAAAACACUCGGUUUCACCUAGGAACUGCAUAUUAUAACUUUAUACGAACAAUAAAAGAAAUCGGUCACUUGAGACCAAGCUAAUAAAAUUUCCAUCAACCGACGAGUGCCAAUGAGCUACUAUGGAGCAGUUCGUGUCAAGUCGUCCUCUGCCAUUUCCAUUUGUGUUAGAGUGCGUGGAUGGAAUGCAUAUUCGCAUUCAGCAGCAUAAAACUGAUAGCAUUAGCUAUUACAAUAAAAAAGGAACUUUUCCAGUUGUUGUACAGGCAAUAGCGGAUAGCAAAAUGCGUUUUACAGACGUAUCCUCUGGAGAUCCACGAUGAUGUCAUGAUGCAUGCAUGUGGCGUACCAGCCCAAUACGACAAGCUAUCUUAAAAAAAACACGUAAAAUUCCUCCACAAUACCAUUUUUGGGAGUCGGUGCUCACACAAGAAUAAAAAAGAUUCAAUAAUGUGCUUAGUUCGACAAGAGUUUCCAUAAAACAAGCCUUCGGUAUUGUGAAAAAAUCUAAAAUAUUGUAGAACAUACUUUUGUUCUAUCAUCAAUAGUUUCCGCAACGCAUGGGACGAAAGACGUUUUAGGGCACUUUUUUAGACCCUGGGUUGCAUUACUUAAGUUUUAGUAAGGAUCCCUAAAUCUUUGCUUAAUAUACCCUAUGUUACUUAGGGUGAAUGUAGCUUUCAAAUGGUGAAGCAAUUUUUGAAACUGGUACAGUAGUUUUUUAGUUUCUGCAGUUCAAACAUACAUACAUAUCUUUUCUCUUUAUAACAGUAGUAUACAUAGAUAACUUAUAAUUAAAAUUAUAAACUACUUUGUAUUAAUACUACAUCUAACCUUCUUAUAUGCUUAAUACAUAAAUUUUGUCAAUUUGCAUACAUAAUGCAGCUAUAAAAACAGAAAAUGAGAAAUUUAGUAAUACUAAAUAGCUUUUUUUUCCUUAAAACUAGAAUAAAUUUUCGUUAAAUAACAUUUUACAUAUAUGUACACCUCUACGUAAAAUUUAUGAAAAAAUAUUUGUACAUUUUGGUUUAUAACAAAGACAACAUUAAGAAAAGAAUUAAUACAUUUUGGUUUAUAACAAAGAUAACAUUGAGAAAUAUUGAGACACAGGAUAAUCAUUAUUAUCUGCGGUUCCACUCAGUACAGCUAAAAGCGACAAAUCUAAUGUUUUCUGAGGAACUGUCACAUCGCUGCGAAUUCGAUACACCUCGUCCAUCUCGUCCUAAAAUUCCCAAUAAGUACCUGCUUUACACGAACCGCGAUUAGGUUUUUUUAUUCGCUUGUACGUUACCAUGUAGUUUAGUGACGUUUUGAAAGUCAGCCUAAAUUUAAUGCCAUAGUCUCCUAAUUUAAACAAAGAAGUAAAUUUUAGUGAGGAAAACUAUCAAUAGUAUCGAUAUUAUUUUUCAAAGUAUCGAAACUGUAGAGUAGUCCGACUAUCGAUAGUCUAGCAGUUCUAAUUACGGGUAUAUCUAAACAAAUUUAGAAACACAAUUUGACAUUUUUUAUUUAAUAUUUUAAAAUACAUCUCAUCACCCGACAACAGCUGUUGUAUCUCGUCAAAAUCUACAUGUGUGGCCGCCUUUGUAGCCUGAUUACUAAGCCCCGUAUGAUACAAGUGGUCUCGGCUGAAAGAAAAAGCAUAUCAGUUACUUAAAUAAGCAACCAAACAGACGAUCAAAUGUAACAAUUACCUAUGAACGUUUGGCGUUUAGAUAUGAUGCAACAGUCGGUUACGCUGGGUAUAAAUCGGUUGAAUUUGGAACAAUGAAUAAUAUUUGUCCACAUUGCAAUGCUUUGAGGUUUCGACUAGAAUCGACCGGAUUAUGUUGCAUGAACGGAAGGGUCAAAUUACCGAAACUAUUGACACCACCCGAAAAACUCAAUUCUAAUACAAUAUCAAAGCAUUUCUUGCAGAAUAAUCAGAGUUAUAACAGUAUGUUCCAAAUGACAUCAUUUGGCGCAAUGUUAUUGAACAACGUGGUUUUAAUCGUCCUUUUAAAUAAUUGAUUUUUCUCUAAAUUACAUAUUAAUAUACAAAUGCAAUCAGAUUCAAGGACAAAUUCACCACCGUGCAGGAGCAUUGUUGCCAUCAUCAAAUGAUGGUGAAUACAAAUUUCCAGAACAGACCAUAAGACUUCAACAAAUCUCUCAGUUCGCUCUCGAAGAGCUGCAACUGGCCACUCGCAAUCCCAGCAGAAAUCCUUAAAAAAAUCGCUGCAGAGCGACCGGCAGUACUUUUGAAUAUGUACAAUGCCAGUAAAGGAAAAGGUUCCAACUUGAUAUCAGCAUACUGUUCACUCGACACUGCGGGAAAUCUUUAUAGAAGGCAACGAGUUGGAGAACUCGAAUCGCUACAAUUUAGUUUUGAAUAUAACAUCAUUCAAAUAGCCUCCACGAAUUCUUUUGCAGGAACGAAUUCGAUGAACCCAAUUAACGAACGAGUACUUUUUCCACUAAAUCAAGUCGUAUGUCAUGAAUAGUACGUUCAAUAUUGACUUCUAAAGCUUGAAGAGAGUCUGGUAUAUUGAUAAAGAACAAUGACUUCAAAUAACCCCACAAUAAGAAGUCUAAUGGUGUUAAAUCACAACUUCUUGGAGGCCAUUCAAUGUCACAAUUUCUUGAAAUUAUCAAAUCUCCAAACUUUUCUCACAAUAAUUCGGUUGUUGCACGUGCUGUGUGGCGCGUAGCCCUGUCUUGUUGGAACCAGUUGUUGUCAAGAUCAACUUUUUCCAAUUGCAGCCAUAAAAAGUUGGUUAUCAUCGAUCUAUGCUGCUCUCCAUUGACAGUAACGUUGUCACCAGUUUCUUUUCGAAAGAAGUACGGACCGAUGAUACCACGAUAAUAUUACGCACCGACCAAAUUGUCAGUUUAGGGAAUGUAAUGAUUGUUCAUGAAUAAUUUGUGGAUUUUCUUCCCACCAAAAUCGAAAGUUUUGUUUUUUUACCGCACCACUCAAAUGAAAGUGAGCCUCAUCAGAGAUGCCAUAAAAUGGAGAAAGCGCACGAAAAGUUGCAAUUGGAGA